rnacentral:rRNA from 1 species
AGUGAACGCUGGCGGUAGGCCUAACACAUGCAAGUCGAACGGCAGCACAGUAAGAUCUUGCUCUUACGGGUGGCGAGUGGCGGACGGGUGACGAAUACAUCGGAAUCUACUUUUUCGUGGGGGAUAACGUAGGGAAACUUACGCUAAUACCGCAUACGACCUACGGGUGAAAUCAGUGGAUAUUCGGACCUUUCGCGAUUGAAUGAGCCGAUGUCGGAUUAGCUAGUUGGCGGGGUAAAGGCCCACCAAGGCGACGAUCCGUAGCUGGUCUGAGAGGAUGAUCAGCCACACUGGAACUGAGACACGGUCCAGACUCCUACGGGAGGCAGCAGUGGGGAAUAUUGGACAAUGGGCGCAAGCCUGAUCCAGCCACACCGCGUGGGUGAAGAAGGCCUUCGGGUUGUAAAGCCCUUUUGUUGGGAAAGAAAAGCAGCAGGUUAAUACCCCGCUGUUCUGACGGUACCCAAAGAAUAAGCACCGGCUAACUUCGUG